rnacentral:rRNA from 1 species
CCUACGGGAGGCAGCAGUAGGGAAUCUUCCACAAUGGACGAAAGUCUGAUGGAGCAACGCCGCGUGAGUGAAGAAGGGUUUCGGCUCGUAAAGCACUUUUGGUAGGGAAGAAAGAUAUAGGUAUUAACUCUCCUUUCUUUGACGUUACUUGCUGAGGAAGUCACGGCUAACUCCGUGCCAGCAGCCGCGGUAAUACGUAGGGUGCAAGCGUUGUCCGGAUUUAUUGGGCGUAAAGCGAGUGCAGGCGGUUCAAUAAGUCUGAUGUGAAAGCCUUGGGCUCAACCGGAGAAUUGCAUCAGAAACUGUUGAGCUUGAGUGCAGAAGAGGAGAGUGGAACUCCAUGUGUAGCGGUGGAAUGCGUAGAGAUAUGGAAGAACACCAGUGGCGAAGGCGGCUCCCUGGACUGCAACUGACGCUGAGGCUCGAAAGCAUGGGUAGCGAACAGGAUUAGAUACCCUUGUAGUC